ensembl:lincRNA
GGAGAGGCAACCCGGCUCAGCUCCUCCUCGGUCCUCGCGCCAGCUUGGCGAUUCACCGCCGAAGGAGCAGGGCACUUCUACCGCUUCCACCGAAGCAGGAAGGACGGAAGGGGAAGCCAGACAGAAAGGGAGCUGACUGCCAAUAUAAAGUCUGUCUUCUGCUCUGCCUGCCUCUACGAAAUGCUCCCAGAGACAAUGUGAGAAGGCCUGCAAUUUUCUGUGCUUCUGGCAAUGGAAAGGAGAGGUAGAUAAGGAAAGAUCCCCCUCCAGAUGAUGAAUGCUGCCCGAGCUCAUAUCGGUGAAAGAAACCUGUGCUAUUCGGUCUAAUGCAACCGCCCUUGCAAGACGUGGCUUGUCAGCGCUACUCAUCGAAGUGUAAACGCAUCUCUGAAGACCCGGAAGGCAGAAGUACUCUCCCCACCCCAACCCCACCCACGGACUUUGCAGCAUCAGUCCAUUUGUACACUCUGAUCUCUAAGAAAAACAGCAUCAUCGCUGUGAAUGACAGCUGCAGCGGGAGCCGGGGAGGGGGCGGUCAGAUGCUCCGCCGGGGCUGUCCACUCCGCGGGCACUGAAAACUUCAGGGAAGGUCUCUCUUGGAGCCAACGCGGACUUGACAAAACAGUUGACAGUUAGGGCAAAGUACGUACGGCAGAAUCAUUAGAACCCACAGAAGCCCCGGCCCCAGCGGCGACACCGCGGCGUGGCGAUGCCCCCAUGGCUUCGGAAAUACCCGCUAUCCCUUUAAAAAGUACCCCCCGCAGGCCGGAAGUGACCGCACGGCGCCACGAGUCGAGCCCCUCGGUGCAGCACGGCCUCGAGCCUCGCGCACGUCCGCGGUCCCGUGGGUUUCCUGCUCUUGCUGCAGUUCUCCGCCGCCAGUCCUCUCCGCGCGGGCAGUUCGGUCACUAAAUCUCAGAGACCCGGCGCCUCCCCUACGCUCCAGCCUACGCCAGGCCUGCUUCCGGGUUCGGCCUGCGCUCCCGGCCCGCUCUAGUGACGCACUUCCGGUGGUGACCAGGCUCGGCUCCGCCCCCAGCUGACACGCGGGCAGAUCGGGUGCCCAGCCGUGCACUGUGCUGGGAGGACAGCGAAUUCCUGCACCGGGGACCAACUGCUCCGCCACGGCUCGGUUUCUGGGGUUCCUUACCGUCCUGGGCGGAAAUGGAUAGAAUCCGCCAGACCACACGACCCGGGGCCUAACUCUCCUGCCCUGUGACAGCGGUCGUCUGUGUCAAGCUCUCCCUUGGCUUUGCCCAGGGCCCUUGUCGCUUGGCGCUGGGACCUUCAGAAGUUGAAAGGGUUUGCCAGAGGCAUCUCAACCACCCUUUCUUAGACUGGCUUUGAAAUGGUGUCACCCACCCUCUUGGACUGAAUAUCUCAGGUCAUCUUAGGGUUUCCUCCCGGAAUUACUUAGUUUUACACAUUCUGGUUCAUCCUCUUCUCACAGGUUGUGUUUUUUUGGAUCGAGAAAUUCAGGCAGAAAGCGUUCACUUUCAGUUUUUCCUUGUAUCUCUCACGAUGCUGUAUGACUUGACCUCAUAAUCUGGUGUCUGGUUAAGUAUAAAGAAACUGUUCUUUACUUCUCACCCCUCCACAGGGCUGUUUGGAUUGUUUCUUUUGUAAUAACGUACUAUACCGUUUAGAAAGCACAGGAAACACAGCUUGGGCGAGUUGGGUGUUUCCUGCUGAAAAUUGUGAAUAUAACGUUUCAC